ACACAAGCAGGGGAGAUACCAUGAUCACAAAGGUGGUUUUCCCAGAAGAAGGCUUAUCCAUUGCACUCCGGAUGUGCUGAUCCCCAAGAUUUCCCCAAACAUGAGAAACUCGACUGCAUAAUUUGUGGUAGUGGGGGACUACGUUCUUGCUCUGCGCUU
rfam:Neotoma lepida isolate 417 scaffold_1112, whole genome shotgun sequence.